CAGUUGGCAGAGGUGAAUGGGAGAGUGUGUGAAGGUGCCAUCUGUGUGGCUGCACUGUUAACUGGACCAAACUUCUCCCCUAGCUAUGUUUGGAUCAGAGUGAGGUAACAGAUGAUCAAUGGACUCUGAAAGGUCCAUUUCAAGAAGGAGCUGAGCUGCUGCAACUUUGGGAUUGAGCAGAUAUUGACAAGGCAGCUGAGUCUCUUCCCUUCAGGAAAUCAACUCUUUCGGGGUCGGGGGGGAGGAUUAGUUGUGAGCCAUCUUGGAAGGUUGCCCCCUUGGGCCAGGAUGAGACCUUUCCACCUUCCUGGACGCUGAUCUGCAACAUCCAGGUAGUGCACCGCACGGGUCCAGUCAUGGGAGACUCAGCCUUCCAGGAAAAGAAGCAUUAAUUAAGGUAAAGUGCUUGUCCCGCAUAGAGAUGGCCCAUUGAAGACCAAUGAGAUAUUGUGGAGCAUCAAAGGAGAGAAGCCCUGUGGACAGCUUUCCUAACUUCCUCUAGGAAGAAAAGACCUAGUCAUGAAC